rnacentral:rRNA from 1 species
UAAAUACGUGCCAGCAGCCGCGGUAAUACGUAUGGGGCAAGCGUUGUCCGGAUUUACUGGGCGUAAAGGGCGCGUAGGCGGUUUGUUAAGUCGAAGGUGAAAUCCUCGGGCUCAACUCGAGAAUUGCCUUCGAUACUGGCAAACUAGAGUGGCGGAGAGGAAAGCGGAACUCUUGGUGUAACGGUGGAAUGUGUAGAUAUCAAGAGGAACACCGGUGGCGAAGGCGGCUUUCUGGACGCACACUGACGCUCAGGCGCGAAAGCGUGGGUAGCAAACAGGAUUAGAUACCCUGGUAGUCCACGCCAUAAACGAUGGGUACUAGGUGUCGGGGGUAUCGACCCCUCCGGUGCCGCAGUUAACGCACUAAGUACCCCGCCUGGGGAUUAUGGUCGCAAGGCUGAAACUCAAAGGAAUUGACGGGGCCCCGCACAAGCGGUGGAGCAUGUGGUUUAAUUCGACGCAACGCGAAGAACCUUACCUGGGCUUGACAUGCUUGGGACAGCGCUGGAAACAGCGUCUCUCCUUCGGGAGCCCUUGCACAGGUGCUGCAUGGCUGUCGUCAGCUCGUGUCGUGAGAUGUUGGGUUAAGUCCCGCAACGAGCGCAACCCUCGUUACUAGUUGCCAUCAGUUCGGCUGGGCACUCUAGUGAGACUGCCGGUGAUAAACCGGAGGAAGGUGAGGAUGAUGUCAAGUCAUCAUGGCCCUUACGCCCAGGGCUACACACGUGCUACAAUGGUCGGCACAAAGGGUCGCUAAGCCGCGAGGUGGAGCUAAUCCCAAAAAGCCGGCCUCAGUUCGGAUUGGAGUCUGCAACCCGACUCCAUGAAGGCGGAAUCGCUAGU